rnacentral:rRNA from 1 species
GACGAACGCUGGCGGCGUGCCUAAUACAUGUAAGUCGGACGCACAGUCUAUACCGUAGCUUGCUACACCAUAGGCUGUGAGUUGCGAACGGGUGAGUAACGCGUAGGUAACCUGCCUAUUAGAGGGGGAUAACUAUUGGAAACGAUAGCUAAUACCGCAUAACAGUAUGUAACACAUGUUAGAUGCUUGAAAGAUGCAAUUGCAUCGCUAGUAGAUGGACCUGCGUUGUAUUAGCUAGUAGGUAGGGUAAUGGCCUACCUAGGCGACGAUACAUAGCCGACCUGAGAGGGUGAUCGGCCACACUGGGACUGAGACACGGCCCAGACUCCUACGGGAGGCAGCAGUAGGGAAUCUUCGGCAAUGGGGGGAACCCUGACCGAGCAACGCCGCGUGAGUGAAGAAGGUUUUCGGAUCGUAAAGCUCUGUUGUUAAGGAAGAACGAGUGUGAGAAUGGAAAGUUCAUACUGUGACGGUACUUAACCAGAAAGAGACGGCUAACUACGUG